AAUUAAAUUAGGGUAAUAAGGAUGCAAAAGUAAGUACAACUAUGUAAAGCAACUACAAGUAGAAGUUUGCAGAUUUAAAACCAGAUUUCUAAAUUGUCCAAGAGGCACAAUUGAGUUGAUUUUAACAAAGUGUGUGUUGUAAUUUGUUCCAGGAGUCGGGUGCACUAAAACUAAAAGCAGUUUUUCCAAGCAGACCGAGCUCGUGGAACAUGAAGUGAAAGCCAGUCAGCAGAGCGAGUCUGAUAAUGUCCCUCUGAGUAACAGAGAAGUUCUGUAAGGUAAGAUGUUAGUUUUCCAAUAAGAGCCUCAUAGAUAAAGAGAUACCAGUGAGUAUCUCGUCUUUCUUGGAGAGAAGACCACCCAAUACUUUCAUAUAAAAUACAAUGAUGUGAACCAUAGCCAUGACCGGUUAUGAAUCUCAAGGCAGAGUGAUAGACUGAGUCCAGAGAUUUAAGAGUUGAAGAUGAUGCAUGUCUAUAAAUCACAUCACCAUAGUCCAAGACAGACAUGAAAAAUGCUUUUGUUUCUGUAGAAAUAGCCACUUUUUUUACCUGAGUCUGCACCCA